rnacentral:rRNA from 1 species
CCUACGGGAGGCAGCAGUGAGGAAUAUUGGUCAAUGGACGAGAGUCUGAACCAGCCAAGUAGCGUGAAGGAUGACUGCCCUACGGGUUGUAAACUUUUUUUAUAUGGGAAUAAAAUGAUCCACGUGUGUGUUUUUGUAUGUACUAUAUGAAUAAGGAUCGGCUAACUCCGUGCCAGCAGCCGCGGUAAUCAGGAGGAUCCGAGCGUUAUCCGGAUUUAUUGGGUUUAAAGGGAGCGUAGGUGGAUUGUUAAGUCAGUUGUGAAAGUUUGCGGCUCAACCGUAAAAUUGCAGUUGAUACUGGCAGUCUUGAGUACAGUAGAGGUGGGCGGAAUGCGUGGUGUAGCGGUGAAAUGCUUAGAUAUCACGAAGAACUCCGAUUGCGAAGGCAGCUCACUGGACUGCAACUGACACUGAGGCUCGAAAGUGUGGGUAUCAAACAGGAUUAGAUACCCCUGUAGUC